AUGAACGCUGGCGGCGUGCCUAAUACAUGCAAGUCGAGCGAACGGACGAGAAGCUUGCUUCUCUGAUGUUAGCGGCGGACGGGUGAGUAACACGUGGAUAACCUACCUAUAAGACUGGGAUAACUUCGGGAAACCGGAGCUAAUACCGGAUAAUAUUUUGAACCGCAUGGUUCAAAAGUGAAAGACGGUCUUGCUGUCACUUAUAGAUGGAUCCGCGCUGCAUUAGCUAGUUGGUAAGGUAACGGCUUACCAAGGCAACGAUGCAUAGCCGACCUGAGAGGGUGAUCGGCCACACUGGAACUGAGACACGGUCCAGACUCCUACGGGAGGCAGCAGUAGGGAAUCUUCCGCAGUGGGCGAAAGCCUGACGGAGCAACGCCGCGUGAGUGAUGAAGGUCUUCGGAUCGUAAAACUCUGUUAUUAGGGAAGAACAUAUGUGUAAGUAACUGUGCACAUCUUGACGGUACCUAAUCAGAAAGCCACGGCUAACUACGUG
rnacentral:rRNA from 1 species